CUCUCUUCUGCAGCACUGACU
rnacentral:miRNA from 7 species